GGCGGCAGCCAUAUUCCCAUGGGUGAGGAGGACAGGGUUAUCAGAUUUGGUAACCCUGAUCUCCUUAUUGGUAGAUGCAGUGGCAGGA
rnacentral:pre_miRNA from 1 species